ACAGCCAUAUAACAAUGAAACACCAGUUUCUGUAUGAUCACUGAAGUUAAGCAAUAUUGAGCCUGGUUAGUACCUAAAUGAAUGACCACUUGGGAAUACCAGGUGCUGUAA